rnacentral:rRNA from 1 species
GACGAACGCUGGCGGCGUGCUUAACACAUGCAAGUCGAGCGGUAAGGCCCUUUCGGGGGUACACGAGCGGCGAACGGGUGAGUAACACGUGGGUGACCUGCCCUCAGCUCUGGGAUAAGCCUGGGAAACCGGGUCUAAUACUGGAUAUGACUCCAUGACGCAUGUUGUGGGGUGGAAAGCCUUGUGCGGCUGAGGAUGGGCCCGCGGCCUAUCAGCUUGUUGGUGGGGUGAUGGCCUACCAAGGCGACGACGGGUAGCCGGCCUGAGAGGGCGACCGGCCACACUGGGACUGAGACACGGCCCAGACUCCUACGGGAGGCAGCAGUGGGGAAUCUUGCGCAAUGGGCGAAAGCCUGACGCAGCGACGCCGCGUGAGGGAUGACGGCCUGGUG